CCAAAAAAAUAGUUUCACUACCACUUUUUUUGAGAGAUUAUCAUGAAGUAUAUCUGUAUUCAUUAGAGAAUAUCACAGAAAUUUAAAUUACUCUCUUGUAAAUUUAAUAUUAAUUUUUUGUCGUCAAAUACAUACAAGUUCAUUUAAAGUUUUUUUCAUAUAAUAAUAAAAUUGAUUUUUUAUUUACGUCAGUAACUGCAGGCUAAUAUGGACGAAUAAACCUCAACAUAAGUGUUUUGAGUGAAAAACUUUUAAAAUUAUCAAGUUUUUAUUAUAUUUUAGAGAGCACUGGUAAAAAUAACACAAUCUUCAAUAUAUCUCAAGUAAUUUUGUUAUACUCUCUUGUAUAUUAUUUCAAAAAUGGAUUAAAAUAUCCGCUUCAGUUGUACUACUGCAAGUACAAUGAUAACAUAUAAAAUGUAAUUUUCGAUAAGAAUAAUCUUAAUAUACUUGAUGUAAUUAUUCCAAAUAAAACCGCGUUAAAUCAUUUUAAAUUAUUUACAAUAGGAACAAAUAAUAAAUAGUUAAUACCUAAUAUUAGACUAUGUCAAUAUGACUAUAUAGUAUUUACUCAUAAAUUCAAUCAGAUGCGUUACUAACAUUUUAAACCAUGGUACAUUUUUACUUUAUAAAUAUCUGAUAUCCGAUGAGCAAAUACAUUAUUACUAUUCGAUGCUCGGUUGUACAUAUAUUUAAUACUAGAAUCAUAUCUAAUGUAGUAUACUUUUUUUCUAAAAUAAUGUACUUUUUUUUUCUUUUAACCGAAAGUUCACUGAUGAGUCAACUACAGUUGAACUGGUAUAUACUAAGGAGAUAGUCAGUGUAGUGGUUUCCCGUUAUCUUCAGUACUAGAUAGAGCUUGAAACGUUUUUAUAAUGUUAUGAUUAUAACGUAAGAACUACUAAAAAAUUAUUGGAAUCGUAAAACCUAAAUAAAAAAUUUUGUUUGGAAACAAUUCUCUUUACUGUUGUAAAGACUCGCGUAUGGUCACCCAUCCGUGAACCUAUAGAGACAGGCUUGACUUGAUAAUAGAGUUAGUGUAUCCACUGUAUCACACCAUAACCAUUGUUUUUGAAAAUUAUAUUAUUGUAGAGUAUUUUUAGGUAUGGAAAACGUUGUUAACAUUAAUAACCAUAAAAAAGAAAACGAUAAAAAAUUGAUGACAAAAAAGAUAAAAAAACGCUAUCAUAAAAUUUUAGUUCACAAAUCAAGCACGUAAGAACUUCGACAAUGAUGAUUGCAAUAUCCAUGUAACGAUAUCUAAAUCAAGUAAUGAACAGGCAAUUUACUCCUGUAAAAUUUCACUAGUAAAUAAACUACUAUAGCAAUAUAGAAACGGAUUUGUUCAUUUACUCUCCCCUCAAAAUCCUUGUAUAUAAUAGAUUUAUAUUGUUAUGUACUUCGUUAGUUAUGAUGAUUUUAAGAUUUAGACUGAAAGAAAAGCGCAGAUCAACCGAUGGGGUUUAAAUAUUUGGAUUUAAAAUAUUUAGAAAAUCCUUAAGAUUAAAAUCAAGUCAUAAAAAAACAGUAUUCACAGAAAACAAAAUCAUCAAAUUAUAAAAACAACAGAAUCAGCAAGUUAUAAUAACAGUAUGAGUGGGGUCAGUUAUUAUAUAAAGAUAACAUAAAUUAGAAACUGAGAUUGACAUUUUGACAGACUUUUUACAUCUAUCUUUUUACAGAUAUCAGAUGGCAUUAAAGUAAAUUAUUUAUUACGUUCUCUAUAAACAAAUUAUGCUGUUAAAAAGAGUGCCGGGAUUAUUUUUUCUUUAAUUUACAAUCUUACAAUUUUUAAUAAUGUGUCAAAAAUAACUUAUAAGUAUCACUUAAUACCACUACUUAGUUGUAAUAUAAAACGUGCUUCUUUUACUUUAUAUAAAAGCGUAACACUCUCCUACGGGAGCCAUAUAUUUGUAAAUGGAGUCCAAUCAUAAAAGUUAAUUACCAUAAUAUUAUAAUAUAUCAUAUAAAAUUAAUAGAAUUCAUUUUUUCGUAUUUCUAAAGAAAAAUGUUGAA